UACGUAGGCAGCAAGCGUUGUUCGGAUUCACUGGGCGUAAAGGGUGCGCAGGUGGUUUGGCAAGUUUGACGUGAAAGCCCCGGGCUUAACCCGGGAAUGGCGUUGAAAACUGCUUGAACUGGAGGAUUGGAGGGGGGGACUGGAAUUCUUGGUGUAGCAGUGAAAUGCGUAGAUAUCAAGAGGAACACCAGUGGCGAAGGCGAGUCCCUGGACAAUACCUGACACUGAGGCACGAAAGCCAAGGGAGCAAACAGG
rnacentral:rRNA from 1 species